GAUGAACGCUAGCGAUAGGCUUAACACAUGCAAGUCGAGGGGUAACGUGUUGGAAGCUUGCUUCCGAUGACGACGACCGGCGGAUGGGUGCGUAACGCGUAUGCAACUUGCCUCACAGUGGAGAAUAACCCGGAGAAAUCCGGACUAAUACUCCAUACACUCUUAAGUACGCCUGUACAUGAGAGGAAAGAUUUAUCGCUGUGCGAUAGGCAUGCGUCCUAUUAGGUAGUUGGUGAGGUAACGGCUCACCAAGCCGACGAUAGGUAGGGGUGCUGAGAGGCAGAUCCCCCACAUGGGGACUGAGACACGGCCCAAACUCCUACGGGAGGCAGCAGUGAGGAAUAUUGGUCAAUGGAGGAAACUCUGAACCAGCCAAGUCGCGUGAAGGAAGAAUGUCCUAAGGAUUGUAAACUUCUUUAGCGAGCGAGUAAGGACUUCCACGUGAUGGGAGUUUGAAAGUAGCUCGAGAAUAAGUAUCGGCUAACUCCGUG
rnacentral:rRNA from 1 species